GUAAAAAAACUAAAAGCGAUUUCUAAUUCAUAGUUUACACUACAGAUUAAUGAUUAUAAUAUGAACAUUGUAUAUGAUCUGUGUUUAUACUUUAUAAUUCUAACGAUGAUUGCGUCAAUACGUCUUGUAUUUUACCUACCACUUUAUGAAUUUUAUGGACUACAGUUGUCUUCAAAUGUAUUAUAAUAUGUAACUGCAACGAAAUUCAUUAGUGUUUAAAAUAAUAAAUAUUCAGUUAUCACAAUAUACCUAAUUGAAAUCUAAACAAAUCUCCUCACUAAAGAUUAAAUACGGGCUGAUUCAGGACCGCGCCGUCCUCAAUCACCGCGCCUCGCUUGUUAGUCAAGAUGUAUUGUAUACACACCCGUUCACUCAUCCAAAGUCGCUAAUAUUAAAAACAACUGUUUCGAAUGAGGAAACCAAUAAAGUAAAGUGUCAGUAAAAAGCAAUAGUAAUUUUUUACACAACAUGCAAGUAUGCAGCCAUCAAGCGCGGGCAAGGAAAAUGUAUUGCGUGCUAGCAGGACACCUCAGGACAUGCCCUGUAGGAUAGAUGGAAAAACUUCAAAACCAGAACAGAUGAUUGACGAUACUGUAGAAAGAAUUAAAGAUACAUCUUCUGGUGCUAAAAUGGAUUCAUUGUUGAACUUGAAAUUUUUUUAUGAAUAACCAAA